GACGAACGCUGGCGGCGUGCCUAACACAUGCAAGUCGAGCGGAGAUCGCAGUAAUGUGAUUUUAGCGGCGGACGGGUGAGUAACGCGUGGGCAACCUGCCUCGAACUGGGGGAUAACACAGGGAAACUUGUGCUAAUACCGCAUAACAUCAUGAGAUGACAUCAUCUUAUGAUCAAAGGAGGAUCCGGUGAGAGAUGGGCCCGCGUCCAAUUAGCUAGUUGGCGGUGCAACGGACCACCAAGGCGACGAUUGGUAGCCGAACUGAGAGGUUGAUCGGCCACAUUGGGACUGAGAAACGGCCCAGACUCCUACGGGUGGCAG
rnacentral:rRNA from 1 species